UUACGGCCAUAUCGUCUUCAAGCACCAGUUCUCGUCUGAUUACCGAAAUUAAGCAACGCCCAGUUUAGUUAGUACUUAGAUGGGUGACCGCUUGGGAAUAUCGGGGACUGUAAG